GACGAACGCUGGCGGCGUGCCUAAUACAUGCAAGUCGAACGCUUCUUUUUCCACCGGAGCUUGCUCCACCGGAAAAAGAGGAGUGGCGAACGGGUGAGUAACACGUGGGUAACCUGCCCAUCAGAAGGGGAUAACACCUGGAAACAGGUGCUAAUACCGUAUAACAAUCAAAACCGCAUGGUUUUGAUUUGAAAGGCGCUUUCGGGUGUCGCUGAUGAAUGGACCCGCGGUGCAUUAGCUAGUUGGUGAGGUAACGGCUCACCAAGGCCACGAUGCAUAGCCGACCUGAGAGGAUGAUCGGCCACAUUGGGACUGAGACACGGCCCAAACUCCUACGGGAGGCAGCAGUAGGGAAUCUUCGGCAAUGGACGAAAGUCUGACCGAGCAACGCCGCGUGAGUGAAGAAGGUCUUCGGAUCGUAAAACUCUGUUGUUAGGGAAGAACAAAUUUGUUAGUAACUGAACAAGUCUUGACGGUACCUAACCAGAAAGCCACGGCUAACUACGUGCCAGCCGCCGCGGUAA
rnacentral:rRNA from 1 species